AUGAACGCUAGCUACAGGCUUAACACAUGCAAGUCGAGGGGCAGCAUGGUCUUAGCUUGCUAAGACUGAUGGCGACCGGCGCACGGGUGAGUAACACGUAUCCAACCUGCCGUCUACUCUUGGACAGCCUUCUGAAAGGAAGAUUAAUACAAGAUGGCAUCAUGAGUCCGCAUGUUCACAUGAUUAAAGGUAUUCCGGUAGACGAUGGGGAUGCGUUCCAUUAGAUAGUAGGCGGGGUAACGGCCCACCUAGUCUUCGAUGGAUAGGGGUUCUGAGAGGAAGGUCCCCCACAUUGGAACUGAGACACGGUCCAAACUCCUACGGGAGGCAGCAGUGAGGAAUAUUGGUCAAUGGGCGAGAGCCUGAACCAGCCAAGUAGCGUGAAGGAUGACUGCCCUAUGGGUUGUAAACUUCUUUUAUAAAGGAAUAAAGUCGGGUAUGCAUACCCGUUUGCAUGUACUUUAUGAAUAAGGAUCGGCUAACUCCGUGCCAGCAGCCGCGGUAAUACGGAGGAUCCGAGCGUUAUCCGGAUUUAUUGGGUUUAAAGGGAGCGUAGAUGGAUGUUUAAGUCAGUUGUGAAAGUUUGCGGCUCAACCGUAAAAUUGCAGUUGAUACUGGAUAUCUUGAGUGCAGUUGAGGCAGGCGGAAUUCGUGGUGUAGCGGUGAAAUGCUUAGAUAUCACGAAGAACUCCGAUUGCGAAGGCAGCCUGCUAAGCUGCAACUGACAUUGAGGCUCGAAAGUGUGGGUAUCAAACAGGAUUAGAUACCCUGGUAGUCCACACGGUAAACGAUGAAUACUCGCUGUUUGCGAUAUACAGCAAGCGGCCAAGCGAAAGCGUUAAGUAUUCCACCUGGGGAGUACGCCGGCAACGGUGAAACUCAAAGGAAUUGACGGGGGCCCGCACAAGCGGAGGAACAUGUGGUUUAAUUCGAUGAUACGCGAGGAACCUUACCCGGGCUUAAAUUGCAGAUGAAUUACGGUGAAAGCCGUAAGCCGCAAGGCAUCUGUGAAGGUGCUGCAUGGUUGUCGUCAGCUCGUGCCGUGAGGUGUCGGCUUAAGUGCCAUAACGAGCGCAACCCUUGUUGUCAGUUACUAACAGGUUCCGCUGAGGACUCUGACAAGACUGCCAUCGUAAGAUGUGAGGAAGGUGGGGAUGACGUCAAAUCAGCACGGCCCUUACGUCCGGGGCUACACACGUGUUACAAUGGGGGGUACAGAGGGCCGCUACCACGCGAGUGGAUGCCAAUCCCAAAAACCUCUCUCAGUUCGGACUGGAGUCUGCAACCCGACUCCACGAAGCUGGAUUCGCUAGUAAUCGCGCAUCAGCCACGGCGCGGUGAAUACGUUCCCGGGCCUUGUACACACCGCCCGUCAAGCCAUGGGAGCCGGGGGUACCUGAAGUGCGUAACCGCGAGGAGCGCCCUAGGGUAAAACUGGUGACAGGGGCU
rnacentral:rRNA from 1 species